UGGCGACGGGUGAGUAACACGUGGGGAAUCUGCCCUGAACUCUGGGACAAGCCUUGGAAACGAGGUCUAAUACCGGAUACGACCGUCUCCCGCAUGGGAGGUGGUGGAAAGCUCCGGCGGUUCAGGAUGAUCCCGCGGCCUAUCAGCUUGUUGGUGGGGUAACGGCCCACCAAGGCGACGACGGGUAGCCGGCCUGAGAGGGCGACCGGCCACACUGGGACUGAGACACGGCCCAGACUCCUACGGGAGGCAGCAGUGGGGAAUAUUGCACAAUGGGCGAAAGCCUGAUGCAGCGACGCCGCGUGAGGGAUGACGGCCUUCGGGUUGUAAACCUCUUUCAGCAGGGAAGAAGCGCAAGUGACGGUACCUGCAGAAGAAGCACCGGCUAACUACGUGCCAGCAGCCGCGGUAAUACGUAGGGUGCGAGCGUUGUCCGGAAUUAUUGGGCGUAAAGAGCUCGUAGGCGGCCUGUCGCGUCGGAUGUGAAAGCCCGGGGCUCAACCCCGGGUCUGCAUUCGAUACGGGCAGGCUGGAGUGUGGUAGGGGAGAUCGGAAUUCCUGGUGUAGCGGUGAAAUGCGCAGAUAUCAGGAGGAACACCGGUGGCGAAGGCGGAUCUCUGGGCCAUUACUGACGCUGAGGAGCGAAAGCGUGGGGAGCGAACAGGAUUAGAUACCCUGGUAGUCCACGCCGUAAACGUUGGGAACUAGGUGUUGGCGACAUUCCACGUCGUCGGUGCCGCAGCUAACGCAUUAAGUUCCCCGCCUGGGGAGUACGGCCGCAAGGCUAAAACUCAAAGGAAUUGACGGGGGCCCGCACAAGCAGCGGAGCAUGUGGCUUAAUUCGACGCAACGCGAAGAACCUUACCAAGGCUUGACAUACACCGGAAACUGGUAGAGAUAUCAGCCCCCUUGUGGUCGGUGUACAGGUGGUGCAUGGUUGUCGUCAGCUCGUGUCGUGAGAUGUUGGGUUAAGUCCCGCAACGAGCGCAACCCUUGUUCUGUGUUGCCAGCGAGUAAUGUCGGGGACUCACAGGAGACUGCCGGGGUCAACUCGGAGGAAGGUGGGGACGACGUCAAAUCAUCAUGCCCCUUAUGUCUUGGGCUGCACACGUGCUACAAUGGCCGGUACAAAGGGCUGCGAUGCCGCGAGGCGGAGCGAAUCCCAAAAAGCCGGUCUCAGUUCGGAUUGGGGUCUGCAACUCGACCCCAUGAAGUUGGAGUUGCUAGUAAUCGCAGAUCAGCAU
rnacentral:rRNA from 3 species